GUACAAAACUAAACUUGUGAUACCUUCUACUCAAACCGAUAAUCUCCCACAACACGAUUGUUUUUGUGUGAAUGUGCUGUACUUGUUAAACCGAACAGUGUGGUAUAUCAUUAACUGUGCACAGAACUGGAAUUUAAUUAUAUACUUCACUCAUGACCUUCAAAACAUUCUCAAUUAUUCAGUGGUCUUCGACAUGUUCACCAAAUAUUUUGUGUAUGUUACUCAACAGUUAACAUUGGCAAGUGUAAACAAC
rnacentral:lncRNA from 1 species